UACGGGGGGGCGAAGCGUUGUUCGGAAUUACUGGGCGUAAAGGGCUCGUAGGUGGCCAACUAAGUCAGACGUGAAAUCCCUCGGCUUAACCGGGGAACUGCGUCUGAUACUGGAUGGCUUGAGUUUGGGAGAGGGAUGCGGAAUUCCAGGUGUAGCGGUGAAAUGCGUAGAUAUCUGGAGGAACACCGGUGGCGAAGGCGGCAUCCUGGACCGACACUGACACUGAGGAGCGAAAGCCAGGGGAGCAAACGGG
rnacentral:rRNA from 1 species